AUACGUAGGGUGCGAGCGUUGUCCGGAAUUAUUGGGCGUAAAGAGCUCGUAGGCGGUCUGUCACGUCGGCUGUGAAAACCCGAGGCUCAACCUCGGGCCUGCAGUCGAUACGGGCAAACUAGAGUACUGCAGGGGAGACUGGAAUUCCUGGUGUAGCGGUGAAAUGCGCAGAUAUCAGGAGGAACACCGGUGGCGAAGGCGGGUCUCUGGGCAGUAACUGACGCUGAGGAGCGAAAGCGUGGGGAGCGAACAGGA
rnacentral:rRNA from 1 species